GAUGAAGAACGUAGCGAAAUGCGAUAAGUAAUGUGAAUUGCAGAAUUCAGUGAAUCAUCGAAUCUUUGAACGCACAUUGCGCCCGCCAGUAUUCUGGCGGGCAUGCCUGUUCGAGCGUCAUUUCAACCAUCAAGCCCCAGGCUUGUGUUGGAGCCCUGCGGCUGCCGCAGCCUCCCAAAACCAGUGGCGGGCUCGCUAUCACACCGAGUGCAGUAGUUUACUCUUCGCUCAGGGCGUGUGGCGGGUGCUAGCCGUAAAACCCCCAACUUCUCAAGGUUGACCUCGUAUCAGGUAGGAAUACCCGCUGAACUUAAGCAUAUCAAUAAGCGGAGGA
rnacentral:misc_RNA from 1 species